rnacentral:rRNA from 1 species
UGAGCAACCUGCCCCUGGCUCUGGGAUAACUCCGGGAAGCCGGAGCUAAUACCGGAUACGAGACCGAUUGGCAUCUUUACGGUCUGGAAAGUUUUUCGGCCAGGGAUGGGCUCGCGGCCUAUCAGCUUGUUGGUGGGGUAACGGCCCACCAAGGCGACGACGGGUAGCCAGCCUGAGAGGGCGACCGGCCACACUGGGACUGAGACACGGCCCAGACUCCUACGGGAGCA